UUGAGAGUUUGAUCUUAGCUCAGGAUGAACGCUGGCGGCGUGGAUAAGGCAUGCAAGUCGAAUGGUCGUACCUCAUUGGGUUCGGUACGACCCGCGGAAGGUCGCGGAACGAACGCGGAAGGUCGCGGAACGAAUUCUUUAAGAAUUUUUUCUGCGUAUUCUGCGUCAAGUCCGCGUGUCUCUGUGGGUCGCCCGAGCGUAGCGAGGUGCGACCAUGGCGAACGAGGUAGUAACACGUAGGAACGUACCCCCGAGUCGGGCAUAAUCAGCCGAAAGGUUGAACAAUUCCCGAUGGUCUGUCAGUGCAGAGCACUGACCGCAGAAUAACGCGGAAUAGACGCAGAAGUACGCAGAAGAAUACAGAUUGUAUUUUUCGGCGAAAUUCAGCGUACAGUCUGCGUAUGUCCGCGGCCAAUGUUCUGCAUUGGCAGUAAAGAUUUAUCGCUCGGGGAGCGGCCUGCGCAGUAUCAGCUAGUUGGUAGGGUAACGGCCUACCAAGGCUAUGACGCUUAGGGGAGGUGAGAGCCUGACCCCCACCGAUGGGACUGAGACACGGCCCAUACACCUACGGGUGGCCGCAGUCGAGAAUCUUCCGCAAUGGACGAAAGUCUGACGGAGCGACGCCGCGUGGUGGAUGAAGUCCUUCGGGACGUAAACACCUUUUAUGAGGGAGGAAGUCAUUGACGUUACCUCAUGAAUAAGGACCUGCUAAACUCGUGCCAGCAGCAGCGGUAAUACGAGUGGUCCAAGCGUUAUCCGGAAUCACUGGGCGUAAAGGGUGUGUAGGUGGCACUGUUAGUCUCUUGUUAAAGCUCCCGGCUCAACCGGGAAAAGGCGAGAGAAACGGCAGCGCUCGAGGGCGCGAGAGGCGUACGGAACUAUAGGAGUAGGGGUGAAAUCCGUUGAUACCUAUGGGAACACCACAUGCGAAGGCAGUACGCUGGCGCGCACCUGACACUGAAACACGAAAGCGUGGGUAGCGAACGGGAUUAGAUACCCCGGUAGUCCACGCCCUAAACGAUCUUCACUAGCUUUUCGGAGUAUCGACCCUCUGAGAGGCGAAGCUAACGCGUUAAGUGAAGCGCCUGGGAAGUACGAGCGCAAGCUUAAAACUCAAAAGAAUAGACGGGGACUCGCACAAGCGGUGGAUCAUGCGGUUUAAUUCGAUGCUAAACGAAGAACCUCACCAGGGCUAGAAAUCCAAGCGAAGUUCCAGCGAAAGUUGGGAUGUCUCACAAGGACGGUUGGACAGGUGUUGCAUGGCUGUCGUCAGUUCGUGGUUUGAAUUGUUCCCUUAAGUGGGGUAACGAACGCAACCCUUGCCGCGUGUUACAAGUGUCACGUGGGACUGUCCGCCCUAGGCGGAAGGAAGCGAGGAUGACGCCAAGUCAGCAUGACCCUUGAUGUCCUGGGCUACACGCAUGAUACAAUGGCUGCAACAGAAGGUCGCGACGGCACUAAGCCCGAGCCAAUCCCCAAAUGCAGCCCCAGUUCGGAUUGAGGUCUGCAACUCGACCUCAUGAAGCCGGAAUCGCUAGUAAUCGCAGGUCAGCUAUACUGCGGUGAAUACGUUCUCGAGUCUUGUACUCACUGCCCGUCAAGUCAAGGGAGCCGGGAGUACCCGAAGUUCCUCCACUUUGUUCGCAAGCGAACAAAGUGGCGCAGACAAACGCAGACUGUACGCAGAAUUACGCAGACUCAAAGAAAGUUUUCUUUUUUCAGCGACUUUCUGUGUUUAUUCAGCGUUAUUCAGCGCCAUUUUACAAACUUGUUUGCAAAGUGGAGGGCCUACGGUAAGCUCGGUGACAGGGAUUAAGUCGUAACAAGGCACGGCUAGCGGAAGCUGGUCGUGGA
rnacentral:rRNA from 1 species